UACGUAGGGGGCAAGCGUUGUCCGGAUUUAUUGGGCGUAAAGCGAGCGCAGGCGGAAAGAUAAGUCUGAUGUGAAAGCCCACGGCUUAACCGUGGAGGGUCAUUGGAAACUGGUUGACUUGAGUGCAGAAGAGGGAAGUGGAAUUCCAUGUGUAGCGGUGAAAUGCGUAGAGAUAUGGAGGAACACCAGUGGCGAAGGCGGCCGCCUGGCCUGUUACUGACGCUGAGGCACGAAAGCGUGGGGAGCAAAUAGG
rnacentral:rRNA from 1 species